rnacentral:rRNA from 1 species
UACGUAGGGUGCGAGCGUUAAUCGGAAUUACUGGGCGUAAAGCGUGCGCAGGCGGUUUUGUAAGCCGGAUGUGAAAUCCCCGGGUUCAACCUGGGAAUGGCAUUCGGGACUGCAAGGCUGGAGUGCGGCAGAGGAGACUGGAAUUCCUGGUGUAGCAGUGAAAUGCGUAGAUAUCAGGAGGAAUACCGAUGGCGAAGGCAGGUCUCUGGGCUGACACUGACGCUCAUGCACGAAAGCGUGGGGAGCAAACAGG